GAGCCGGUGGCGAAUUGUAUCGCGCCAGCUCCACCGGUGGAGCAUCGAGGAGGGAGCAAGGGAGCGGGAAGUCCUGGUUCGAGUCCAGGCUGGGUCG